rnacentral:rRNA from 1 species
AUUGAACGCUGGCGGCAUGCUUUACACAUGCAAGUCGAACGGUAACAGGCCUUCGGGUGCUGACGAGUGGCGAACGGGUGAGUACUGCCUCCGAACGUACCCAGCGGUGGGGGCUCACGCAGCGACAGCUGUGCUCAUACCGCCUGUGAUCUGAGGCUGAAAGCGGGGGACCGAGCCGCAAUGUUUCGCCUCGCCCCUUUGGACCGGCCGAUGUCGGAUUAGCUAGUUGGUGGGGUAAAGGCCUACCAAGGCGACGAUCCGUAGCUGGUCUGAGAGGACGACCAGCCACACGGGGACUGAGACACGGCCCAGACUCCUACGGGAGGCAGCAGUGGGGAAGUUUGGACAAUGGGCGCAAGCCUGAUCCAGCAAUGCCGCGUGCGGGAAGAAGGCCUUCGGGUUGUAAACCGCUUUUGGCAGGAACGAAACGGUGUCCGCUAAUACCGGGCGCUAAUGACGGUACCUGCAGAAUAAGCACCGGCUAACUACGUG